rnacentral:rRNA from 1 species
UACGUAGGGUGCGAGCGUUGUCCGGAUUUAUUGGGCGUAAAGAGCUCGUAGGCGGUGUGUCACGUCGGCCGUGAAAACCUGCAGCUUAACUGUGGGCGUGCGGUCGAUACGGGCAUCACUGGAGUUCGGCAGGGGAGACUGGAAUUCCUGGUGUAGCGGUGAAAUGCGCAGAUAUCAGGAGGAACACCGGUGGCGAAGGCGGGUCUCUGGGCCGAUACUGACGCUAAGGAGCGAAAGCGUGGGGAGCAAACAGG